UGUGGGAUAACAGUCCGAAAGGAUUGCUAAUACCGCAUGUGGUCCUCAGGCUUAGAAACUGAUGACUAAAGGAGCAAUUCGCUUUGGGAGGGACCUGCGUCCCAUCAGCUAGUUGGUGAGGUAAUGGCUCACCAAGGCGACGACGGGUAGGGGACCUGAGAGGGUGACCCCCCACAAUGGAACUGAAACACGGUUCAUACACCUACGGGUGGCAGCAGUAGGGAAUAUUGCACAAUGGGCGAAAGCCUGAUGCAGCAACGCCGCGUGCACGAUGAAGGCCUUCGGGUCGUAAAGUGCUUUUCUGCGAGAUGAGAAAGGACAGUAUCGUAGGAAUAAGUCUCGGCUAACUACGUGCCAGCAGCCGCGGUAAUACGAAGGACCCGAGCGUUAUCCGGAUUUAUUGGGUUUAAAGGGUGCGUAGGCGUCCUGGAAAGUUACGGUUGAAAUCUCCUUGCUCAACAAGGAAACUGGCCGUAAAACUAUCAGGAUUGAGUACAUUUGAAGCGGGCGGAAUGUGUCAUGUAGCGGUGAAAUGCUUAGAUAUGACACAGAACACCAAUUGCGAAGGCAGCUCGCUAAACUGUAACUGACGCUGAGGCACGAAAGCGUGGGGAUCAAACAGGAUUAGAUACCCUGGUAGUCCACGCCCUAAACGAUGAUUACUCGAUGUGUGCGAUACACUGUACGCGUCUGAGCGAAAGCAUUAAGUAAUCCACCUGGGGAGUACGAUCGCAAGAUUGAAACUCAAAGGAAUUGACGGGGGCCCGCACAAGCGGAGGAGCAUGUGGUUUAAUUCGAUGAUACGCGAGGAACCUUACCUGGGCUUGAAAGUUAGUGAAGCAAGCAGAAACGUUUGCGUCAGCAAUGACACGAAACUAGGUGCUGCAUGGCUGUCGUCAGCUCGUGCCGUGAGGUGUUGGGUUAGGUCCCGCAACGAGCGCAACCCCUAUCUUUAGUUGCCAUCAGGUAAUGCUGGGGACUCUAAAGAGACUGCCCGCGUAAGCGUGGAGGAAGGUGGGGAUGACGUCAAGUCAUCACGGCCCUUACGUCCAGGGCUACACACGUGCUACAAUGGCCGGUACAAUGGGCAGCCACAUGGCAACAUGGAGCUAAUCCUAUAAAGCCGGUCUCAGUUCGGAUUGAGGUCUGCAACUCGACACUUAUGAAGCUGGAUUCGCUAGUAAUCGUAGAUCAGCAAUGCUACGGUGAAUACGUUCCCGGGCCAUUGUACUCACCG
rnacentral:rRNA from 1 species